AGGGCAGAUCGGGCAAUCGCGGGGGAUGCAAAUCCUUCGAGGAAGGUCCGGACUCCACAGGGCGGGAUAGCGGCUAACGGCCGUCCGGCGACGCUGGCGGGCUUGCCCGCCGGAAAAGCCGAGGAACAGGGCCACAGAGACGAGUCUGUCAUGAGGGCGCGCCUGGCGCGCACCGGCACGGCCAUCUCCGUGCCGCGCCGUCCGGAAACGGGCGGCGGCAUGACAGGGUGAAACGCGGCAACCUCUAUCCGGAGCAACAUCAAAUAGGCAUGCGUACGGCCGUAAGGCCGGGAAGGGCGGCUCCGUCCAAGCAUGCGGGUAGGUGGCUGGAGCGGUCCAGCAAUGGUUCGCCAAGAGGAAUGAUUGCCCGCCGGGGAAACCCGGCGUACAGAAUCCGGCCUAUAGAUCUGCUCU
rnacentral:RNase_P_RNA from 13 species